ensembl:snoRNA
GGUCGGUGAUGAUUGGUAAAAGGUCUGAUUGCACUUAAUGUCACAGUCCCUUCCUUGCCCUCAGCUCCCAGCAGCCCAUUCUUUUCCUCCUGUCACAUUUAAGGCAUGUGUAUGGGAUAAUGGAGCAGCUGAUAAUUUGGGAUUCUGUCCGUGUGUGUUUCUGAGAGCAAAAGUUGCACAGCUGAUGAGGAUCCAACAAAACCAGUUAUGCAGGAGGUUCACGAGGGUCAGUCAUGGGCUAUGACAGUGCAUGAUCUCAAGUUUUCAAUCUGAGACC